rnacentral:rRNA from 1 species
UACGGGGGUGGCGAGCGUUGUCCGGAAUUACUAGGCGUAAAGGGCAGGUAGGCGGUUGUAUAAGUUAAUCGUUAAAGGCCAGUGCUUACCAUUGGUAGGGCGGUUGAUACUGUAUAACUGGAAGCGAGUGGGGGAAGACGGAAUUCCUGGUGUAGCGGUGGAAUGCGCAGAUAUCAGGAGGAACACCUAAGGCGAAGGCAGUCUUCUACGCUUGUCUUGACGCUAAACUGCGAAGGUGCGGGUAUCAAACAGG